rnacentral:tRNA from 1 species
GCGGACGUGGCGAAAUUGGUAGACGCACGGGACUUAAAAUCCCUCGCCCGUACGGGUGUGCGGGUUCGAGUCCCGCCGUCCGCA